rnacentral:lncRNA from 1 species
AAAGCGCCGAAAGUAUACCCAUCCUCUCUCUACCUUUCAAACUCCACCUCCUUCUCAAAGUGUGUCAACACCACAACAUGUGUACCAACAAGUGCACAUGUGUUAGCAUUUUCACAAACAUUUUCUUUGAAGGAGUUAAGUUAGCUCACUAGGUUCUAAAUGCAUGCACAUGAACAAUGACACCUAGUGGCACUUGAUAACCGCUUAGCCAAAGAAUUCCCCUCUUUAUAGUACGGCUAU